rnacentral:rRNA from 1 species
GCGGUAUCUCACACACCUGUGCACCCGGCGUACGUCUCGAGACUCUCGAGGCGUUCACUACAUUUUUCUUUUACAACGAUGCCUGUAACGAAAAAGCAUGUCUCUUGAGCUCUACGGAGCGCAAACAACGUUAAUACAACUUUCAACAACGGAUCUCUUGGCUUUCGCAUCGAUGAAGAACGCCGCGAAAGUGCGAAACGUAAUGUGAAUUGCAGAAUUCAGUGAAUCAUCGAAUCUUUGAACGCAUCUUGCGCUCCUUGGUAUUCCGAGGAGCAUGCCUGUUUGAGUGUCGUAAAAGUAUCUCGAGUCCGAGUCUCUUUUGACUCGGGGUUCGGAUUUGGACGUUUGCCGUCGUGAGACGGCUCGUCUCGAAAUGCAUCGGCCGUUCCCAUUUCCACAGACAACGGUGUGAUAAACGAAAAUUCGCUCGCGUUUUGUGGUAACGGGGGACGGCUCACGGUCGUCCUUUUUGGACAAU